rnacentral:rRNA from 1 species
UGGGGGAAUAUUGCACAAUGGAGGAAACUCUGAUGCAGCGACGCCGCGUGAGGGAAGAAGGUUUUCGGAUUGUAAACCUCUGUCUUCGGUGACGAAAAUGACGGUAGCCGAGGAGGAAGCCACGGCUAACUACGUGCCAGCAGCCGCGGUAAUACGUAGGUGGCAAGCGUUGUCCGGAAUUACUGGGUGUAAAGGGAGCGUAGGCGGGAAGGCAAGUUGAUUGUCUAAACUAUGGGCUCAACCCAUAGUCGCGAUCAAAACUACUUUUCUUGAGUGAAGUAGAGGUAAGCGGAAUUCCUAGUGUAGCGGUGAAAUGCUUAGAUAUCACGAAGAACUCCGAUUGCGAAGGCGGCUCACGGGAGCGCAACUGACGCUGAGGCUCGAAAGCGUGGGGAGCAAACAGGAUUAGAUACCCUGGUAGU